rnacentral:sRNA from 1 species
AUAAUUAUUGUUUACUUAUCUUUUAAAAACGAUUGUAUACCAUGCAAACCUUUUUAAAAAUCUCUUGUAAAUCAUUCUUUGACACUUACUUAUGCUUUAAAAACGAUUGUAAAUCAUGUUAACCCCUUUUAAAAUCCCUUGUAAAUCAUUCAAAGCCACUUACUUAUGCUUUAAAACGAUUGUAAACCAAACAAACACUUUUAAAAUCUCUUGUAAAUCAUUCUAUGCCACUUACUUAUCUUUAAAAACGAUUGUAAAUCAUGUUUUACCCUUUUAUAAGCUUUUAAAAUCCCUUGUAAAUCAUUCCAAUACCACUUACUUACACUUAAAGAAACAUUGUAAACCAUGCUAACCCUUUUUAAAAAUCCUUGUAAAUCAUUCUAUGCCACUUACUUAUGCUUUAAAAACGAUGAUAAAUCAUGUUUUACCCUUUUAUAAGCUUUGAAAAUCCCUUGUAAAUCAUUCAAAGCCACUUACUUAUGCUAAAAAACGAUUGUAAACCAUGUUAACCCUUUUUAAAUCCCUUGUAAAUCAUUCUAUGCCACUUACUUAUGCUUUAAAACGAUUGUAAAUUAUGUUUUACACUUUUAUAAGCUUUUAAAAUCUCUUGUAAAUCAUUCAAUGUCACUUACUUAUGCAAAUCUCCCUUAAUCUAAAGCGUAAAUGUAUAAAUAUACUUGAUUAAAAUUCGUUCACAAAUCAAAACCAAAACCAAAACCAAAGCCUUUAAAAGGUUUAUGUAAAUUAUUUUUCACUCUUUACUAAGGAAAACCCCCAAAAAUAUGAUGUUUAACUAAACCAAAAAUCGCAUUAACCUUAAACAUAUUAGGGAAAUUUGCAAAACUACCCUUUUUUUACUACCCUUUUGCAACAAUACCCUUUUAUAUUGUUCAUUUUUAAAAAUAUCGCUUUCUUUGAACAGAAUGACCAAAUUACCCUCAUCUAAUAAGAACAUGUAAUUGGAAACUGAAUGUUUUCCGCCAAUUUUUUGGCGCCAAAAUUUAUUUUUCCCGCCAAAAAAGAAUUUCCGCCAAACUUUUUUUCCCGCCAAAAAAAAAUUUCCCGCCAAAAAAAAAAUUUCCCGCCAAACUUUUUUCUCGUAAGUUAUUUUUUCCAGCCAAAAAAAUUGUUUUAAAAAACCUUGUAAAUUUUUUAAAAACUCUUUUAAAAAACCUUGUAAAGUUUUUUAAAAACUCUUUUAAAAAACCUUGUAAAGUUUUUUAAAAGCUUUGGUAGUUGCUAAAAACCUUUGUAAAUCAUUUUAAAACUUCUUAAAAUCUUUAUAAAGUCUUUAAAAACAUAGGUAAAUACUUUGAAACCCCUUUUUAAACUUUUGUAAAUCAUUUUAAAACUUUUUACAAUAGUUUUACAAGAUUUACAAUCGUUUUUUAAGCAUAAGUAAGUGGCAUUGAAUUAUUUACAAGAGAUUUUAAAGCUUAUAAAAGGGUAAAACAUGAUUUACAAUCGUUUUAAAGCAUAAGUAAGUGGCAUAAAAUGAUUUACAAGGGAUUUAAAAAGGGUUAACAUGGUUUACAAUCGUUUUUUAGCAUAAGUAAGUGACAUUGAAUGAUUUACAAGGGAUUUUAAAAGCUUAUAAAAGGGUAAAACAUGAUUUACAAUCGUUUUUAAAGCAUAAGUAAGUGGCAUAAAAUGAUUUACAAGAAUUUUUAAAAAGCGUUAGCAUGGUUUACAAUGUUUCUUUAAGUAUAAGUAAGUGGUAUUGGAAUGAUUUACAAGGGAUUUUAAAAGCUUAUAAAAGGGUAAAACAUGAUUUACAAUCGUUUUUAAAGCAUAAAUAAGUGGCAUAGAAUGAUUUACAAGAGAUUUUAAAAGUGUUUGUAUGGUUUACAAUCGUUUUUAAGCAUAAGUAAGUGGCUUUGAAUGAUUUACAAGGGAUUUUAAAAGGGGUUAACAUGAUUUAUAAUCGUUUUUAAAGAAUAAGUAAGUGUCAAGAAUGAUUUACAAGGGAUUUUUAAAAAGGUUUGCAUGGUCUACAAUCGUUUUUAAAAGAUAAGUAAGUGGUAUAGAAUGAUUUACAAGGAUUUUAAAAGCUUAUAAAAGGGUAAAACAUGAUUUACAAGAGUUUUUAAAGAGUUUUAAAAGGAUUUACAAGGAUUUUAAACCUUUGUAAAUCCUUUUAAAACUCUUAUAAAGUCUUUACAAGCAUUUUUUAACUCUUAGAAAAAGAAUUGUAAGUAUUUAAAACAUUUACAACUCUUUUAAAACUAUUUUAAAACUGUUGUAAACCUUUACAAAAGGUUUUAAAAAGAUUUACAUGAGUUUUUAAAGGGUGUAAAUCUUUAAAAACUCUUGUAAGUCUUUUAAAGCCCUUUAAAAUACCUUGGAAAUCUUUUAAAACCCUUUUAAAAUCGCUUGUAAAUCUUUUAAAACCCUUUUAAAAUCUCUUGAAAAUCUUUUAAACCCUUUUAAAAUCUCUUGUAACUCUUUUAAAAUAUUUUUAAACCCUUUUAAAAUCCCUUGUAAAUCUAUUUCCCGCUAAAAAAAA